rnacentral:rRNA from 1 species
AUACGGAGGAUCCGAGCGUUAUCCGGAUUUAUUGGGUUUAAAGGGUGCGCAGGCGGCCAUUUAAGUCAGCGGUUAAAUCGUGGGGCUCAACCCCAUUCUGCCGUUGAUACUGGGUGGCUUGAUUGCGGUCGAGGUUGGCGGACUUCGUUGUGUUGCGGUGAAAUGCAUAGAUAUGACGAAGAACACCGAUUGCGUAGGCAGCUGACCAGACCGCAAAUGACGCUCAUGCACGAAAGUGCGGGGAUCGAACAGGAUUAGAUACCCUGGUAGUCCGCACAGUAAACGAUGAAUACUUGUUUUCGGCGAUAUAAUGUCGGAGGCAAAGCGAAAGCGAUAAGUAUUCCACCUGGGGAGUACGCCGGCAACGGUGAAACUCAAAGGAAUUGACGGGG